AGGCUUAACACAUGCAAGUCGAGCGCCCCGCAAGGGGAGCGGCAGACGGGUGAGUAACGCGUGGGAACGUACCCUUUACUACGGAAUAACGCAGGGAAACUUGUGCUAAUACCGUAUGUGCCCUUUGGGGGAAAGAUUUAUCGGUAAAGGAUCGGCCCGCGUUGGAUUAGCUAGUUGGUGGGGUAAAGGCCUACCAAGGCGACGAUCCAUAGCUGGUCUGAGAGGAUGAUCAGCCACAUUGGGACUGAGACACGGCCCAAACUCCUACGGGAGGCAGCAGUGGGGAAUAUUGGACAAUGGGCGCAAGCCUGAUCCAGCCAUGCCGCGUGAGUGAUGAAGGCCCUAGGGUUGUAAAGCUCUUUCACCGGAGAAGAUAAUGACGGUAUCCGGAGAAGAAGCCCCGGCUAACUUCGUGCCAGCAGCCGCGGUAAUACGAAGGGGGCUAGCGUUGUUCGGAAUUACUGGGCGUAAAGCGCACGUAGGCGGAUCGAUCAGUCAGGGGUGAAAUCCCAGGGCUCAACCCUGGAACUGCUUUGAUACUGUCGAUCUGGAGUAUGGAAGAAGUGAAUGGAAUU
rnacentral:rRNA from 1 species